rnacentral:rRNA from 2 species
GUUGACCUCGGAUCAGGUAGGGAUACCCGCUGAACUUAAGCAUAUCAAUAAGCGGAGGAAAAGAAACCAACAGGGAUUGCCUCAGUAACGGCGAGUGAAGCGGCAAGAGCUCAAAUUUGAAAGCUGGCUCCUUCGGGGUCCGCAUUGUAAUUUGCAGAGGAUGCUUCGGGAGCGGCCCCCAUCUAAGUGCCCUGGAACGGGCCGUCAUAGAGGGUGAGAAUCCCGUAUGGGAUGGGGUGCCCGCGACCAUGUGAAGCUCCUUCGACGAGUCGAGUUGUUUGGGAAUGCAGCUCUAAAUGGGUGGUAAAUUUCAUCUAAAGCUAAAUAUUGGCCGGAGACCGAUAGCGCACAAGUAGAGUGAUCGAAAGAUGAAAAGCACUUUGAAAAGAGAGUUAAAAAGCACGUGAAAUUGUUGAAAGGGAAGCGCUUGCGACCAGACUCGCCCGCGGGGUUCAGCCGGUAUUCGUACCGGUGUACUUCCCCGUGGGCGGGCCAGCGUCGGUUUGGGCGGCCGGUCAAAGGCCCUCGGAAUGUAACGCCUCUCGGGGCGUCUUAUAGCCGAGGGUGCCAUGCGGCCAGCCCGGACCGAGGAACGCGCUUCGGCACGGACGCUGGCAUAAUGGUCGUAAGCGACC